GGCCCGUUGGUCAAGUGGUUAAGACACCGCCCUUUCACGGCGGUAACACGGGUUCGAAUCCCGUACGG
rnacentral:tRNA from 1 species